GUGCUCACUGAGGCAGCACAUAUACUAAAACUGGAACAAUACAGAGAUUAGCAUGGUCCCUGCGCAAGGAUGACAUGCAAAUUUGUGAAGCUUUCUGUAUUUUU
ensembl:snRNA U6 U6 spliceosomal RNA